GCCGUGAAUGUCAAUCAAGCAAGCUACGGAAUUUGCCGCCAAUGUUUUUCUUGUAAAGUGUAUGGAAGCUGGAUGAAUUAGAUGCCAAAAACCAACCACUUUCAUGUGGUAUUGUACAGAAAGGACAACUUUUUUUCUCCUCCAUUUGAAAAUGUGGGCGUUAUCAUCAUUACUGUCUGAUUCCAAUCAAUGCAAGUCAUCAGAAUCAGGUAAUACACCAACUUAUAUUCUUGUCUUUGUGAAAGAAAGACAUCUAUAUGUGUUACACAUGCUUGUAUUAUCAUUAAACACAAUUAACCUGUUUACAAAAAUGUCUCUUUCAAUUAAUUAGCGAUCAGCAAUCUUCACCAAGACGUCCCUUGAUUGACAUUCACGGCACCCGAAGGUCUUGUGAGAUGACGCUGGCUGCGAGAUCAAUAUUAAGAAAAAAUGACAGAGAGGAAGGCGAGAAACACUUUUUAUUUUAACAGACUCUCGCACCGUACCUUCCGUCAAAACUCUAAAGGCCGACUGCACAUUUCCUAUCUUUACAAUAAAAGACCUGCUUCAUGCUGCCUGCGCUAACAAAAUAAGAGUCUCGGAAAUCUGGCGUGCACAAGUGAUCGCUUGUACACGCUAGAUUUCCGAGCAUCACUACUGUCUGAUUCCAAUCAAUGCAAGUCAUCAGAAUCAGGUAAUACACCAACAUUUAUUCUUGUCUUCGUGAAAGAAAGACAUCUAUAUGUGUUACACAUGCUUGUAUUAUCAUUAAACACAUUUAACUUGUUUACAAAAAUGUCUCUUUCAUAAAUAAAUAAAUAUAAAUGAUAUAUAUAAAUGAGGUAGAUCCCAAAUUGAAAAGUAGCUCGCCUGCAGAAAAAGUGUGGGCACCCCUGGUCUAGACGCUGUAAACAAGACACGCUGCGCGCCAAACAACUAUAUAAUGAACUUACAUUCGUCAGUGACACACCAGGUACCGCAGUGCUAUACAAUCUUACAAGUUGUAGAUAUUUAUACAGGCAGCAAAUGUAAAGGACUGGCAUUCACCACUCUGUGCUCUGUUUUGGUUAGAAUGAAUAAGCGCGCACUAACCCUUCUGCCACCGUGAAGUUCCUGCAGUCCUGGGUUCAAAUCCAGGCUCGGGAUCUUUCUGUGUGGAGUUUGCAUGUUCUCCCCGUGAAUGCGUGGGUUCCCUCCGGGUACUCCGGCUUCCUCCCACUUCCAAAAACAUGCACCUGGGGAUAGGUUGAUUGGCAACACUAAAUGGUCCCUAGUGUGUGAAUGUGAGUGUGAAUGUUGUCUGUCUAUCUGUGUUGGCCCAGCGAUGAGGUGGCGACUUGUCCAGGGUGUGCCCCGCCUUCCGCCCGAUUGUAGCUGAGAUAGGCGCCAGCGCCCCCCGCGACCCCAAAGGGAAUAAGCGGUAGGAAAUGGAUGGAUGGAUGGAAUAAGCGCGCCCCACAAUGCCUUGCGCUCUUAAGGUGGACUGCUCACAAUAGUCUCUUAAGGUAGCACAGAGUUUGGGAACCUUUCUAACAGUAUUGUAGUUUUUUAAAUAGUUUUUGUAUACAUAUUUAGAGUGUCUUUUUGCGGUCCUUCGCCGCAUCACGCUUUUAAAUAUUGCAGCUUCACCACCUGCAGAUUUGUGUGGAAUUAAUAUAAUUUUUUAUUGUAAUUUUCGACAACCUAAAAAAGGCCUGAAAUAAGCAUUUUCGAGGAUAAAAAUGUCUAAAUAAACGUAUAAAAUUCAACACUAGAAUAGUAUUCGUCCCUAAAAAAGACCGAACCAAUAAUAGCGCACAGUUCAGUAUCGUAGACACUGAAUGGCUCAACCUCAAGCACCAUUACUGUAUUGGAUUAAAAGAGUGUAAAGAUGACUAAACUGUGUUUUUUCAUGUCUAGAGGGCUUUUAUAAUGUGAAAAAACUUACUUAGAAGGUUUUCAUGCGCAAUCCGAUAAAAUAUUAAUUUUUAUAAUUCAUGAUUAAUUUUCAGAACCAAUUAUUAGCUAUAAACUGUAUUGUUCAAAUUCACUUGUGCCACAAAGUUUUUAAUAAGUGAGGGAAAAAUAAAACUGGGUAUGUCAAAGCAUAGGUAUAUGGCAUCACCUUGUGGAAUGUUUGAAAUGAAAAUGCAACAAAAAUAAAAUUAUAGUCAAUAUUUCAUAACACUAAUAGCUAGUCCACAAAUGCAGUUUCCUAAUGAAGCAAACAAAACUCCAGACACGCCUCUUCGUUUUGUAUCGUUUACUUAUGAACUUAAUCAUUCAAAACAUCAAACAAUAAUCAUGUGGCAGAAAGUUAAUGGCAUAAUAAAGCGAGUGUGUUACAGUAAGAAAAAGUAAGAGUAAGGUCAAAAUAGUUUGUGGCUCUAUUCCACCAUACCUGACUGUCUUUACCCAUAAUACAUUGUGUCCAAACCUUAUUACCACACAGAUCCUUCCGCCAUAUAUGCAAUUAAACAGUUACAUAUUCUUAACUGUAUUAAAGCAGUAUAAAAUGGUACGUCAUCAAAUUAUUCAGAAAAAAAUAAUAAUUACAAAUAAAGUGUACCUUAUAAUUAUUCUAAUCAUGCAAUAUAUACAUUUUCGUAUAAUGCAAAUAAAGUAAAUAGUCCCAUUUUUGGUGAAUAAACAUGAAGCACCUCCUUCCAUAAAAUGUAAAUUAACUUAAACAACAUUUAGGCUCCUACAACAAGAGUUGCGUUUUUUCACUCAGAAAAAACUGCCUCUAAUGUUUUGGAGAGUACUAUGAGUCAAAUUAUCGGUUGAAUAAUUAUCUGGUCGAUAUUAGGAAUUAUGACGUAACACGGAUAAUCUGAUAACAUAAAAAAAAAACAAUCUAAAUAAUUUUUAAGUGCUCCAAUGAGAUGAUUGCACAUAGUAGGUUUGAUUGGUUUAAUUGACACUUUUAUUAUUAGAUUGCACAGUACAGUACAUUUUCCGUACAUCCAUCCAUCCAUUUUCUACCGCUUAUUCCCUUUUGGGGUCGCGGGGGGCGCUGGCGCCUAUCUCAGCUACAGUCGGGCGGAAGGCGGAGUACACCCUGGACAAGUCGCCACCUCAUCGCAGGGCCAACACAGAUAGACAGACAACAUUCACACUCACAUUCACACACUAGGGCCAAUUUAGUGUUGCCAAUCAACCUAUCCCCAGGUGCAUGUCUUUGGAAGUGGGAGGAAGCCGGAGUACCCGUAGGGAACCCACGCAUUCACGGGGAGAACAUGCAAACUCCACACAGAAAGAUCCCGAGCCUGGAUUUGAACCCAGGUCUGCAGGACCUUCGUAUUGUGAGGCAGACGCACUAACCCCUCUUCCACCGUGAAGCCGUACAAUUGACCACUAAAUGGUAACACCCCAAUAAGUUUUUCAACUUGUUUAAGUCGGGGUCCACGUUAAUCAAUUCACGGUAAAGGUGGGUUAGGGUGAACAUAUCAAGCGCUCCUACUUUGUAGGAUGUUCCAAAUUUCACAUAAAAUCAACAGGUCUUAAAGUGUACAUAAACUUAGUGUUAGUUGUACUGUUGGUCGGACUUCUCUUCUCAUCAGAGGAAGACAUUCCGUGGGUUGCCCGAACCAAAUGCCCUGCAAACACUCCACAAGGAAAGAAAACAGAACACUUGACUUUGACACGUCAAACCGCCCACUGAAAAAAGAAGCUAUUGGUACCUUAUUCCGGUUCUAAGGGAACGCAGACCACCUUCAACAAGUCCUCGACGGUUAAAUUGCAGCAGACCUUAUCAAGCAAUGGAUGUCGAGCGGGUCUAACAUGAUACUGUGAAAGUUGAAUCCACAAUGGAUCCAACACAGUCGCGAGAGUCCAGUCCAAAGCGGAUCUAACACAGCAGCGAGAGUCCCGUUCACAGCGGAGCCAGCAGGAAACCAUCCCAAGCGGAGGCGGAUCAGCAGCGCAGAGAUGUCCCCAGCCGAUACACAGGCAAGCAGUACAUGGCCACCGGAUCGGACCGGACCCCCUCCACAAGGGAGAGUGGGACAUAGAAGAAAAAGAAAAGAAACGGCAGAUCAACUGGUCUAAAAAGGGAGUCUAUUUAAAGGCUAGAGUAUACAAAUGAGUUUUAAGGUGAGACUCUCUAAGGUUCUCAUAGUCAUCCUUGUCACCGACGUCCCACUGGGUGUGAGUUUUCCUUGCCCUUAUGUGGGCCUACCGAGGAUGUUGUGGUGGUUUGUGCAGCCCUUUGAGACACUAGUGAUUUAGGGCUAUAUAAGUAAACAUUGAUUGAUUGAUUGAUUGAUCAAUCAAACAUUACAACUCGAGUAGGUCAUUUUUUUGCAUGUUCUGCAUUGCUGCAAUAAUUAUGACAUGUUGUUGUAGAUUUUUUUCUCAUUUUUUAUGUUUUAGUAAGUUACCAUUUGUUUUAUCUUUGGAGUAUUUAAAUUACUAGUCUUUGCAACUUAAAUGUCACAAAAUGACAAAUAUAAAAAGGCUUGGUGCACUUCGAGAGGAGCCGGAUGAGAUUUUUAGGGCACUUCCAACUGGGAGGAGGCUACGUGGAAGACCAAGGACAUGUUGGGGGUAUUAUUUCUCUCAGCUCGCCUGGGAAUGCAUUAAGAUCCCCCGGGAGGAGUUACUCUAGGUGGCUGGGGAGAUUGAAGUGUGGUCUUCUCUGCUUAGGUUACUGCCCCCACAACCCGACCACCGAUAUGUAGGCUAAGAUAGAUGGAUAAAAGGCAUUAAAU